GACGAACGCUGGCGGCGUGCUUAACACAUGCAAGUCGAACGGAAAGGCCCUGCUUUUGUGGGGUGCUCGAGUGGCGAACGGGUGAGUAACACGUGAGUAACCUGCCCUUGACUUUGGGAUAACUUCAGGAAACUGGGGCUAAUACCGGAUAGGAGCUCCUGCUGCAUGGUGGGGGUUGGAAAGUUUCGGCGGUUGGGGAUGGACUCGCGGCUUAUCAGCUUGUUGGUGGGGUAGUGGCUUACCAAGGAUUUGACGGGUAGCCGGCCUGAGAGGGUGACCGGCGACAUUGGGACUGAGAUACGGACCAGACUCCUACGGGAGGCAGCAGUGGGGAAUAUUGCACAAUGGGCGGAAGCCUGAUGCAGAAACGCCGCGUGCGGGAUGACGGCCUUCGGGUUGUAAACCGCUUUCGCCUGUGACGAAGCGUGAGUGACGGUAAUGGGUAAAGAAGCACCGGCUAACUACGUG
rnacentral:rRNA from 1 species